UAGAGCUGGGUAGAUCUCAUGUUACCUGCUGAGCUGUGCAAAUGAUAACAAAGCCCUUCCUGGGGUGAGACCUCUCUUCAGCAGAAGUCAUGCACAGCCCAACAUCUCCACACUAUCUCUGCAGAAAGCUCUGUCUCUGUACUGCCCCUCAGUAACUAUUUUGUCACUAUUUAAAAAAAAAAAUCAUGUGCCUUGAAGGGAAGACCCUGUUAGUGAAAACAUCAUAUACUUUGUACACAGGACUCAAGGAAUCAAGCGGGAAGGACAUAUGGGAACCAGAGUUGGUUUGCAUCACAGAAUCCCACUCGGUGUAAUUGUACUGGGUCCUAGGACACAGACUGCAAAGAGCUGAGUCCUAAGAGAUCAGCCACAGAGAUUCAGAACGUCCUGUCCUGGAAAGAUGGACCAACUGCUUCGGCUCACCGGGAGUCCGAAGAGGUGAACUUUUAGACAGCGUGUGUAUGAAACACUCUCAGACGGCUUCCUCUCCACACCUCUUCCACCUCUCCUGCACUAUCCUAAGGUGCUUGUGCGUAGCCUCAUUGGUUUUGAUUAAACGAGUAAUAAAAGUGAUGAAAGGCAGAUGCUGGGAUGUUAACUUGGGGAUAUCUCUCACUGUUUUAGGGCACGAUCAGGACAGAGACUGUGUCCCUGUUGAUACAACCUCCUUUCCCUCACUGUAUUCUUAAUGCCGCAGGUGUCACCAGGAAUGUCUUUUCCUUGUCAAGGAUCAUUGAGUCAAGACUUAAGGGUCUGUGUGUCCUUUGUGCUCCCUAGCGUCCCUCUUCCAACCUGUGUCCUGUAGCCCUUGCCACACUCUGUGCCCUGUGCUCAUCAUGAUCCCUGCUCCACUCUGUCACUGUAAGGCGCAAGCUCCCAUGGGGAACACAGACCUCCAUGACUAAGGCGCUGUAGACAUUGCUAUGUGAAUGUCAUAUGCUGUUCUCAUAGCAUGCAUUGAGGCUCCGAGCUUAGUCCCCAGUACCGCAAAACAAGACAA
rnacentral:sRNA from 1 species